rnacentral:lncRNA from 1 species
UUAAAAUUUUUCGAAUAGAAAAUAUCAUAGAUGUCAUUCUACAAGUGAAAAUUUUUGGUUACGUUAUAAUCAUGGAAAAUCCAUAUAAAUGUUUGCACCACUAAUUCAGCGAAGCAGCGAGUUUUGCUAAAAGCUAGCUUGAACCUGUACAUUAAUGGAGUUUAACAAAAACUUUGAUCUUAAGUCGGCAGUACCUAUGGAAAGGACAGAAAAACAUACGAGGUAUACGGCGGUCGGUCAUUGGAUGUAGUGAAACGCAGGCGAUAAAGCUUUGGACGCCUCGGAGCACUGUAUCCGAACGGUUACUGGAUGUCUUCACACGAACACCUACAAAAAAUCAACGGUGUUGUCGUCUGCUUGAAGCAUCAACAGGUAUUUCCUUGAUUGCAUUGAUGAUAUCGAACAGUACGCGGACCAGACUACCAACACAACAAACGCAGACACGACCAUUCCCAGUGGAGCCAUGAGCACCUUCCCCGACUUCCUCUCAGUCAAUGGCAUAUUUGGAGUCAAACGACCACUCAUUGCAGACGAAGACCUCGAGUUGCUCCGACGACCUAGAGUGACCCUUACGCAUCUUCGUUCUGGAUAUUGUUGCAGUUUAAACUUCUACUUAUGCCGAAUUGACUCUAUCCACCUCUUUGGAUGCUCAACGAGUCCCAGCAGCUCGUUUUCUGCGCCUAUCGUUAGAUGACUUUUAAGAGGACCAACCUGAACCUUACCACCCGGGGAUUAGAUAACAGCUAAUCUCGAAAAAAAUGUUUUAUGUUACGAUCACUGUUGCUGGUGUUGUAGAUUCCUUCUAAUUAGACCUUAUACUAAGCUACUAAAAUAUUACCAAUUUUGAAACAUUCUUUAGAUUUAUUUUUAUUUCUAAGGUAGAAUAACCCCAUUAUUUCUUAAGUGUAAAAUUAUAUCCAAAAUAGAAUUGAAGACGUUUAUUUUUUUUUUAUUAUACACUUAAUUAUAUUUAAUAAUUUGUUUAUAAACACGCAUCUAUUACAAACAUUUUUAGCAAUUUUUUUUUAUAGAAAUUUUUAUUUUUUAAAUUUAUUACUUUGUUCUAAAUAUUUCUCUUAUAAUUAAACAGAAGCCAAGUAGUCAUUAUCUAAUAUUUUUUUUGCGUAAAUUUUCUUUGUGUUUCGCUGAAUUCGAGUUUUCAUAAAAAAUAAAUGUAUAUGCUUUUUUGUAUGCAUGUUAUGUACAUAAAUAAGCCUAAGCGUGAUACUCAUAUAAAUAAAGAAGCAUACAAGUUUGAUUCAUUUGUGGUUUAUUUAUGUAAAAUAGAAUUUAGUUUUAUAUGUAAUAAAAAAAAUAAACGACUUUUAUAUUUAAAAAGAAAAUUUUGUUUUAGUGCUUAAACAAAUUUUUAUAAAAUAGAAAUACUUUUUUGUUAAAAAUAAAUUUUAAGCUAAAAUACAUAGUUAUAAUUGCUUAAUAAAAUGUAUUUUCCAUUGCAUACACUUUAGAAAAUACUUUUGAUUACAAAUUUCAAUGAAGCGAAAAUUCUUCCGAGUGUAAUUUGUUAGAGAAAAAUACAAAGUACAGUCAAAUCCCAUUAACACGUAGCGUUAGCAGGUAAACAUUUGAACUUAGCUAGUUAUAAAGUAAAAAAUAUAAUAGUUUUCGCAAAAUUUGAUUAAUUUUAUUUUAUACUUUCAAGUAAAUUAGUUUUUUUUAAUAAUAAAGUUUAUUUCUUUUUAAAUAAGAUAUAAGGUAUGUAAAAAAGAUCAAUAUUUGCCGUUAAAGCACAGUAAAGUGGUGAUGAUUGUGUAAUUGAUUUUGUAAAUAAAUACAAAUGCGUUUUAAAGUGCGGAAAAAUAUCAGUAAUAAGCGACAUCUUAAAUAUUAAUUUACAGUCGGUUUUGUGUUCUUUUGCUACACAAUAAUGUUUCGUUUGUUUGUUAUAUUUUAGAAUAUCUCAUUUUAUAUUGUAUUAAAUUUGAUUAGUGUACCAUUUGCACACGCUUUUUAUAUCUCCUUUUUAUGGUUAUUAUGCAUGUACAUUUGUAUACUUAUGUUUGCUGCAACUCUUAUAAGUUAAUUAUUUCUUUUAGCACUCCACCGCGUCUGCUAAAAAACUAGUACAAAAAUUAAAAUAACAUCAAUAUUAAAAAAAAUUAGAUCGAUUCUUUUGCUUUCAAUUAAAUAAGGCUAAUUUGUAUUUUUUUGCACAAUUGAUGCCUGUGAAGAAAACAAACACUAACAACAAAUGUAUGUUGUAGAAUUAUUUGAAGUCAACAAAUUUAUGUUCAAAAACUGCAAUUAACAUUUGUGCGUUGUUGUAUUUAGCAAUAUUAGUUUGUAUUUGUAAUUUGUAUAAGCUUGAUAAUUAAACUUCAUUUUGAUAAUACACCAAUGUGAUAUACAGUUAUGUUUUAUGUGGACUAAUCAGUUAUUUCGUGCUUCUUUUUAAUAAAUAGAGAUGCUUUCAAUGUAAUUUCUUAUAAGUUCGCCUCUUUAAUAUGACGCACGAAAUUUUUCUCUCAUCUAAUACAGCAAAAUACUCAAAUUGGAUAACU